GAUGAACGCUGGCGGCGUGCCUAAUACAUGCAAGUCGAGCGAACAGACGAGGAGCUUGCUCCUCUGACGUUAGCGGCGGACGGGUGAGUAACACGUGGAUAACCUACCUAUAAGACUGGGAUAACUUCGGGAAACCGGAGCUAAUACCGGAUAAUAUAUUGAACCGCAUGGUUCAAUAGUGAAAGACGGUUUUGCUGUCACUUAUAGAUGGAUCCGCGCCGCAUUAGCUAGUUGGUAAGGUAACGGGUUACCAAGGCAACGAUGCGUAGCCCACCUGAGAGGGUGAUCGGCUACCUGGGAUGAGAGACAGGGCCCAGACUCCGAGGGGGGGCAGCAGUAGGGAAUCUUCCGCGAUGGGCGAGAGCCUGACGGAGCAACGCGGCGUCAGUGAUGAAGGUGUUAGGCUCGUAAAACUCUGUUAUUAGGGAAGAACAAAUGUGUAAGUAACUAUGCACGUCUUGACGGUACCUAAUCAGAAAGCCACGGCUAACUACGUG
rnacentral:rRNA from 1 species